CCAUCAGAACUCCGCAGUUAAGCUGUGCUUGGGCUGAAAGUAGUACUAGGAUGGGUGACCUCCUGGGAAGUCCUCGUGUUGCACUCCU
rnacentral:rRNA from 1 species